rnacentral:rRNA from 1 species
AGUGAACGCUGGCGGUAGGCCUAACACAUGCAAGUCGAACGGCAGCACAGUAAGAGCUUGCUCUUACGGGUGGCGAGUGGCGGACGGGUGAGGAAUACAUCGGAAUCUACUUUUUCGUGGGGGAUAACGUAGGGAAACUUACGCUAAUACCGCAUACGACCUACGGGUGAGAGCAGGGGAUCUUCGGACCUUGCGCGAUUGAAUGAGCCGAUGUCGGAUUAGCUAGUUGGCGGGGUAAAGGCCCACCAAGGCGACGAUCCGUAGCUGGUCUGAGAGGAUGAUCAGCCACACUGGAACUGAGACACGGUCCAGACUCCUACGGGAGGCAGCAGUGGGGAAUAUUGGACAAUGGGCGCAAGCCUGAUCCAGCCAUACCGCGUGGGUGAAGAAGGCCUUCGGGUUGUAAAGCCCUUUUGUUGGGAAAGAAAGGCAGCAGGUUAAUACCCCGCUGUUCUGACGGUACCCAAAGAAUAAGCACCGGCUAACUUCGUG